CCGGGCCUUCAGACAACAGUGUGGCCGGAAUGUCCGUGCACCGCGCGCGCAGCUCAGGUCUCCAGGGCCGCCCUGCCCGGGCUCCUCCAUCCCGUAGACCAAUCCUUCCCACCACCUGCAAGGUCAGUCCCACCACCUGCAAGGUCAACGAAUCACUCCAGCAUCCCGCAGGGGCAGGAAGAGCUGUGAUGAGGGCCCCUCCUUGGGGUCGGUCGGCACAUGGCCAAGGGCGGGGGGUCAGAGAGUGGGAUGGUCCUCGUGGCUCUGGAUGGGGCUGUACCUGCCGGAGAGCCUUGAUGACGAGGGGCCGGGAGGGCACGUGCAGAGGGCAGCUGGCGAGGCAGCCCCAGACCUGGGACGGCUAGAUGGUCGCCGCGGGAGGUGGCUCUGCUGAAGGCUGCCGGAUGUGGGGGCCAGCUGCACCUCCCUUUCCGUCUUCUCUCUCGCGUCGUCUGGUUCCCGGGGCCUUCCUUGCUCCCCCACCCACGGGGCGUGCUUACGUUUUACAGGCUGUGUACACGGGUACUGGGCGCGGACGAGCGCUCCGACCCGGGCCAUAGGCCCCAGGCCAGCUGCUCCAGGUGCCGGCCGAGACCUCCUGCUCCUGAGACACAGGCUGCCUCUGUUGAGCCCGCCCUGCUUCCCGCCGUGGGCCUGGACAGCCCAGGGUGAGGGACGCCGGUUGGCCAGGACAGGGCACGGCGUGGCACCAGCAGCCUGGAGGGGCAGGAGCAGGGCCGGGUUACGCUGGGGAGGACCACGUGAGCCUGCCAGGCCAGCCUCACCCUGCGCGCCCCUACGUGCUGUCACCCACGCGUGGGACAGCCACCGGUCGCGUGGGAGCAGCAGGGGGACUGGGUGGGGUCAUCGCAGGGAGCUCCGGGGGUGAGGGUGUGGGGCUGACAGAGUCCUCCGUUUGUGCCCCUUGUCCCAGCCCCUGGGAUGGGACCGGCCCUUCCUGACUCGGGGAGCUGGCCCGACCACAAGCAUGACAGGAAGGAAGGCAGGAAGGAAGGCAGGAGUGAAGCAGGUGUUUAUGCGCUCGUGGGAAGGGAAAUGGUCCUGAGCCAGUGGUGUGUGACAGUCACUGGGUUUGCCCUUUUGGUGGCACCAAGUGAGGAGCUGGGAAGAAAGGGACCAUUUAGAGUCAGCUGGGGGGGGGGCGUGUGGGCCCCCCCACAUUUCCUCUUCUUGAGGAGAGACCUGAGUCCUGGAGGGCACUGCUUCUCGGGGUCCCACUGCCCCCCGCCUCUCGCCCCUGGCCAGGAGGAGUCCCGGCAUGUGGGGCUCUGAUGGCCCAGAAGAGGACAGACCUCGGACUCAGGGCCGCGGACCGCUGGCCUGCACUUCCUCCGGAGAGAUGGAAGCUCCCCGGCUACCGGGGAGCAACGGGGGUCUUUUUCUGUUGGGUCUCGUGAUGACUUUUGGCAACCCCCAAAAGCGAGUUUCCAAGUAGACUGAACAAUUAGUCACUUCCAUUCACGUGUGCCUGCUCAGAAUGUCACCACCAGCUGUGUCCCCCGAUAAGGGCUGAGUCCUGCUGGCAGUCAGAGACCACUGGGCGGGGAUGGCUGGGCUGUGGCACCCUGGCCUACUGGGACCCUGGGAGGUGUCACGAUGCCCCGGGGAGAGCAGAGGGUGCUAGGGACCCCUGGGCAGAGCAGAGGGCGCUAGGGACCCCUGGGCAGCAGCCUGGUGGAGGAAGUGGGCACCAGAGGGCGCGGCUGACGGAGAGGGUGUGACACGGGCCAGGCAGGGGCUUAGCGAGGCUGGGCUCUCUGCAGCGGCAGUCGGGGUCUCCAAUGGACAGCAGCUCGGCUGGUGGACUCUGAGUGGCUGUGCAGAACCAUGGAGACAGGAAGGGAGCUGCCCUCUGACCUUUGCUGCCUUGAGGAUGCACCCACUUACAAUGGCUCCCCGCCUCUUGAUGGCGACACUUGGGGAAGUCGCUUUGAGUCUCUCACGUCAGCUCAAUAAGCUGUUUGUUCUCUUGUCCUACAAAGAACCUGGGCCCAAGACCACCCCCGGGGAUUGCUCUAGUAUGGAGUGUCUGAAACGCAGCCUCGGUCUGGCUCUGCGGCACGCUCAGUGGGAUUCUGGAAGCUUCCCCCCCACCAGCCUAGGCCUGGUUCCCAAUCCAGAGCAGCUGGGCUCUGAGUCUCAGCUACAGGGCGCCCUUGCUCCCCACGCCUGGCAGGCUGCCCCUCGGGGCCGGAGCCGGGUGGAGUUCGCAGGACACAGAAAACAUGGGUGCCAUUAUUCUGCAAAGGCGGUCCUCGCCGCGCCCACCCCCGCCUCUCCCCAAACCCCUGCUGGGGGCAGUGGACUUCAAGGAGAAGCUCCUUGGCAGAGUGCUCCGCUCAGCAAGCCCUUUGAUCAGCCAGAGGUCUGGGCAUGCCUGUCGUAGCCGAGGCCGGGGGCGGGGCAGCCGUGCGAGGCUCGGUCACCCCCUCGGGGCCGCGGGCCGCAGCUGCAGGAGAUGCUGCUGGGGGCGCUUUCCCAGGUCUGAGCCCACACCCAGCUGGAGGACGGGGCCCACACACUCAGCUCUGGCCUGGGGCCGGGAGUGGUUUUCCCUGGGCUGCCUUGCUCUCUCUGGCUCCUUGGCCCGGCUCCUGGAGGAAGGGGAGGCCCAGACACAGAGCACCAGGCGCAGGCUGACAUGUCGGGACCGAGCGCUCCCGGGGCCCGGUGCGCGGAAACGCGUGCGCGGCCCCCUUGGGCGCCGGAGCCCCGCGAGCUCGGUGCGUUCCUGCUCGGCUGCCUGCUCUCCCUCUCGUGGCUUCGGCCUGCCCCCCUCCCUGCCCCCCUGCCCUCCUGGGCUUCUCAGUCUUUUCCCUCUCCAGCCUGUGUGGCCAGGCCGGCUGCUCCGACGCCAACUUCAGUCAAAAGCCGCAGCGACUUGGCCCGCGGAGCAGACGGAGCAGGAGGGCCCUUAGCCGCUGUGCGUCCGGGCCCGGCCCACUCCCUGCCCCCCCCGGCUGAACUGACCGGUCCAGUAAACUAACCCAACCUCUUCCCCCUCCCAGGACGUCGCCGGCCCACCCCCAGAACCUUCCUCUAAUCUUCGGGCAAGCCUGAGAGGUUGCUUCCAGUUCAAGAGGCUCGGAGCUGAGGGCCUUGUGUGCACGCAGAUGUGACUCCUGAGACCUCCCGGGGAAGUCACUCUGCUGGGUGAGGCCUUCCCCUGUCCCUCUGUCACCCUUCCCAAGGUGUGGACCAGCCUGUCCCCAGGGCGUGCUCAGUGCCCGAGACACAGAGCGGUUUCCGGGGCGCAGAUGAGCUCAAGGUGCCCGGUGCAGGACUUACUUCUGGAUGAGCUGGUUGACGACAGGUGCUGCCCACGCACUGGGCCCUGUCCCCCCGGCACCGUGGUGACCAGGGGUCCACCACGAGGCUGGAAACCUGGUUUCCACUUGUCGUUUUAAAGAAGAAACAGAUCCUGCCUUGGUUGGCAGCUCCUGAGCAGGGGCGGGGGUCUGUGCACCCGGCCCAGGAGGCUCCAGGCCCGUCUUGGGUCAGGGUCCGGGGUCCGGUGCGGACACGUGGUACUCAGACCCGCCCGGACUGUGUGAGGCUGGCUGGGGCAGAGCGGGGCUGGGGUGUGGGGAGGAAAUCAGGGGCUGCAGAAGGAAGACACUUCUGCUCAGGGGGGACCCACCAGAGUCCAAGGGGCAGGGUCUCGCCACCUCGGCAGAUGGGGACAAAUCCCGACGUGGACCGUGGGGGGCAGGCACCGACAGGUGGGGCCGAGAGGAGAUCCCAGCCCUCUGGCGGCUGAGGGGAAGCACCAGGUCCCCCUGUGUGUUUCUCUGUGCGGCAGUAAAAUCCUGCUGCGUGGGAGGGGACAUCUGAUGGCCCACAUGAGCAGCCCCACCCCAGGGAAACAGGGCUGAGCUGGGGAGUGGGACCCCGGAGGCCGGCAGGAGGAGGGGCUGGUCUUCUCGAGACGGGGGGGGGCUGGCCGCUGGCCUCAGAGGCAGGGGAGAGUGUGGGGGCGGGCGGGCCGGGUGGGUGCAGCCGAAGGCGAGGGAAGGUUCAGGGCCCUGGCACUGCUCGUGGGCAGCUGUGCGUCCCCACAGCACAGCAGGAACAUCGCCAAGGACGAAGGAGGCACAGAGCUGAGGAACUGAGUGACAGAGGAGAGGCUGGUGACCACAGUCCGUUGGGUCAGCUCUAGGGGAGCAGGAUAGGGCCAUGGCCGGUCCUUGCGGGAGAGGGACAGGCCCUGGAAGCGGAGCGGCCCCUCCCCAGAGGCACCCGCCCUUCCGUGAGGGUCUGAGCGCCCUCUGAGCACCCACCCUUCCGUGAGGGUCUGGAAAUGGUGUUCCCUGGAAGGGGAGAGACGGGCAGCUCACCCCUCUCGAGGGCCCCCUGAGGCGAGGGCUCGGCCCGGUCUGGCCAGGGAGAGACGGAGCCGGAGGAGGGAGCUGGGGGUGCCGGCCCGCUGUGCCCGAAGCCUCGGCCCGGGAACCUCUCAGGGGGCUGGCCUUGUAGGGAGAUCAGGUGGCUCAGUGGCAGGCGGAGGGCCUUCCAAGGAGGCACAUGGAGCGGGGGCGGGGUCGGCCAGUGAGGGUGGAACCAGGCUGAGGCCGAGAGCGUGCAGGUGCUCCUCACCCUACAAAUACGGCGCCCCUCCCCGCCUUGGGGCCCACGCCCUGCCUGCCCUCCCGCCUUGCUGCUGCCUGACUGCUGGUGAUCGGCUGGGCCACCCCGGCAGCCCCCUCCGCCUCCUGCUGCCUCUGCCUCCAUUUUCUUACAGGGAAAAUGGGCAGAAGACAAGGUUGUUCCCUGAUUAACCAAAUAAUCUUAUACAAACAAGGAGAACUGAGGAACUCACACUCCCCAAUUUAAGAACUUACUGCGUAGCUACAAAACAAGUCAAACGGCACGAUGCUGGCCUAAGGUUUACCUUGGUCUGUAGGUUUACAGACCCACAGGAAGAUGGAAAUAAACCCGAAUACGUCGGUGGCCAACUGAUUCCCAGUAAGGGAGCCCAGACCGUUCAAUGACAAAAAGUCCUUCAACAGAUGGUGCUGGGCCCCUACCUCACACCGCACACAAAAAUGAACUCAGAGUGGAUCAAAGACCCACAUGGAAGGAGUCAAAACUAUGAAAGUCUCAGAAGAAAACGCUGGGGGGGCUCCUCGCCGCCUUGGACUUGGUGAGAGGUUCUUGGCUACGACACCAAGGCACAGGCAGUCAAGAAAAAACUGGAUAAAUUGGACUCUGUCGACAUUAAAAACUUCUGGGCAUCGACAGAGUGUAUAGACGGCCCACGCUCGGGAGAGGCCGUCUGCGGAUUAUAUCCCUGAUAGAGACCUCGUGUCAGGAUAUAUAAUGAACUCUCACAGCUCAGCAACAAAAGGUCAAGAAUGGACGGAGGACCCGAACAGGAACUCUUCCCAAGAAAACGUGCAAAUGGCCAACAAGCACGUGAAAAGAGGGAAACGCAACUCAAAACCACGCUGAGAUGCCCGCGAGGAUGCCUAGAAUGGGGCGGAAACUAGCGAGUGCUGGCCAGGACGUGGACAACGUGGAACGCCUGGGCACGGCGGGCGGGAGCACGGGACGGGACGGCCACUCUGGAAAACGGGUUGGUGGAUCCCGGAGAGUAAAACGUCGAAUGCUCAUUUGAUGAAGCUUCUCCACCCCUACGUACACACCCAGAGAACCGAAACCAGGGCUCCAGACAAACACUUGUACACAAAUGUUCACAGCAGCUUUAUACACAGCGGUCGCAAAGAGGAAAGGACCCAAGUGCCCGUCGCCUAAAGCAAAGGUAAGUGAAGUGGGGUCCGUCCCCACAAUGGAGUAUUAUUCAGCCACUAAAAGGAAUGAUGUUCUGACGCUCUCCGUGGCGGGGUGAACCUUGAGAUUGUUAUGCUCGGUGAAAGAAACCAGACACAAAAGCCGCAUUGUGUGAUUCCACUUACAGGAAAAGUCCGGAACAGGCAAUCCACGGAGACAGAAGGCAGAUCAGUGAGGCCAGGAGCGAGGGGGAGGGAGAAGCCAGGAGCAACCGCUAAUGGGCGAGGGCUUUCUUUCUUUUUGGGGGAUGAAAAUGGUUCACAACCGGACAGAGGUGUCGAUGGCACAACACUGUGAACGCGCUAAAUGCGCUGAAUGGUACGUUUUCAAAUGGUUCGUUUUAUGUUCUGUGGAUUUUACCUCAAUAACAAAACGGAGCAAAAGAAAACCAGGUUGUUUGGAAGUGUCAAUUGGAUUAAUUCUUUUUUCUUUCCAGUUUAUUUAUUUAUUUUGAGAGACACAGAGAGAGAGAGAGAGAGAGAGAGAGAGAGAGAGAGCAGGGGAGGGGCAGAGAGAGAGAGAAAGAGAGAGAGAGAAUCCCAAGCAUGGAGCCUGACUCGGGGCUUGAACUCCCGAAUCGUGACAUCGUGACCUGAGCUGCAAUCGAGAGUCAGACGCUUAACCGACAGAGCCACCCAGGGGCCCCUCGACUGGAUUAAAAUGUUGACACCCUGCCGGGCCCUGACGUUCUCGCUGUGGUCAUGACGAGUGCCGUCCAGAAUGCCCACAGCCUGGGGCGCCAGAGUCAGGGGAAGGAGCAGCCUUAGGGUGUCCUCACUUUAACUUCAGGCCCGGGUCAGACCACACUUGUCACGGUGACGCUGGAGUUUGUCCCUGGGAAGCCUGGGGCUGCGGUGAGAGCAGGAGCCUCUCUGGAGGGUCCCCUGGGAGGGGUGGGAGUCGGGGGAGGAAGUUCCCCCGGGGAAGCGGAGCUUCUCCAACUCAGAGACGAGGGCCAGGGGCUGUGUGUUUAGUGUCCCGUCCACGACCCCUGGAUUGCCACUUUUGUGGUGUGCAAGAGCCACGCCCUCACGACGUCGAAUUGCCGUGGAAGCUCCCACGCACCGACUCAGUGCGUCGCCCACCAGCACGGGGAGGGCAUGGGCCGCACAGGGCAGGGCGGGAGUGCUCGAGGGGAGCCGGCCCCGGUGUCGGUUAAUUUGUUCGUCUCGCCUGCAAGCCGGCAGCCCGGCCCGGGCAGGGCCACGUGUGUGUGUGGCUGCGGUCCAUCCAGCCCCUAUCCCUGACCCCACCUCUGGCUCCUGGGCUCGGGAACUCGCAGUGGGGGAGGGGGCAGGGGGGACAGUCCCCUUCGCCCAGGCUUGACUCAGCCCCACCUUAGCACCCGAGUGACCAUACCUGGACAUUUUGCCAUGUGCCCCGGUCCGGGCUACCACGAAGACCGCGGUUGGCUGGUGUCCCGGAGCCUCUCCUGUGCGGGCAGGACGCGCCCCUUGGGGCCGGGUUCAGAACCAGGCUCUAGUGGGACGCAGACAACGUGUCCCGCCUCUAACAGAAGAGUGGGUCACCGGCCGGUGUGCUUUCUGACCCCCCUCGGUGCCCCAGGAGGACCCCCCCCGCCCCGGGCGGCCGCUUCGUCCGGCCUCAGGCUCCUUCCCACCCUGCCUGCACAUUUUCCGGAAGGAGCCAUUCUGGACGAAUGGCCAACUCUACAGCUGCGCCUUCAAGCCGUCAGGAAUCGGGCAUCGCAAUUUAAUUGCGGUGUGGAAAACACGCAGCGACCUCCCAUGCCGGCCACGUCCCGCUCCCGGGGUUCGAAACAGCCAGAGCGAGGCGCAGGUGCUGUGCCGAGUGGACCCGGGCGCUGGGGUGGCAGGACGCGGACGGGCUAGUGGGAGGGCUUGCAGCCCUGGGGCUUACAUGUCAACACGCUCGAUCUGAGCCCACGAGGGGGCCGUCCAGUCAGGAGGCUCAGCUCGCCGCGCCUUGGGGUGGGGGACCAUGCGCCGCAGCCCCUGUCAGAGACGGCGGAGGCGCUGGGGAAGGAGGGGGCCGAAGUGGCUGAAGACGGCUGCCCUCAGGCAAGAUCUGGUUUGUGUGACCAACAAACCAGAAAGUUUCCCAGAAACUUAAAGGUACCCAAACCCCAAAACCCUAGUAACUCACGUAUACGUGACGUUAAAACGAAACUCCACGUUCAGAAGUAUAUGAAAAAUCAUCAUCAACAUCAUCAUCAUCAUCAUCAUAAAGUCCCUGUAUACACUCUCAAAUCACACCCUCCAUCCAGAAUGAUGGAGGCUAACACUGCAGGCGUGCCCGUCUAGAACUGUCUCUGGGUUCUUAUGUGGGCACAUCUGUUCGGGUUGAUUGAGCACAUUGUUGUGCAGCUUUUUUUUUUUUUUUUUUUUUGUAAACCGAACUGUAAGUCCCAGCGGUCUUUCCACGUCUGUAACAAGAUCCCCUUGUUACUUUCAAUCUAGUGCCUGUCUUCUGCAAAGCGGCUGCAUUUUCCGUCUGUGGAACCACGCCUCUGCUCAAGAGCGUGGUUAUUUCAAACAAAAUGACAUUAAAACCGCACCAUGGCUUUGUGUGAGCACACGUGACAGGUUCUAUAGGAGAGACGCUCAGAGACACGUCUGCUGAGACGUGGGACGGGGGCUUUAAUAGUUUCCACGGAUGCGGCCACAGGGCACCGGGUCAGGGCGGCACCUGUUCACAGAUGUGGUGGUUCUUUGCUACCUGGAGACGAGAGGUGCUGUCUCGGGAGGGUGCGUGUGCUUCCCGAGGCGUGUUCUCACAGACUCACGGCCUCUGUUGUGUUUCCCGGUGGCCGGUGCAUUCAGGCACGUCACCAUUUUUCACCUUCGCUGUUUUCGUAUUGAUUUUUGAGGAGCUCUUUAUGGAUUAAAGAUCAGGCUCUUGCCUGGAAAUCUGGGUUGAAGCUCUCCCUCCCCCUCCCCCACUGAUGAAAUGCCAGUAAAUACACAAUCCAACACACGCGCGUCUAUUUCUGGGCCCUUAUCCUUGGAUUUCUGUGUAUAUUUCUGUCUGGGCUGAGACCACACUGAUGUGAACGCUAGUUUUACAGGACGUGUAUUGCUUAGUUCUGAACGUUUCUUGGCUCUCUUCAUUCAAAUGUUCUCCGUCCUAAGAACGUUGGGUUCAGCCUGUCAGAUCCCAUAAACAGCAGAAGAGAAUUGCCCUGAUUCUGUAGAAAAGUUCUAGAACUGCUUUCUUUCCCCUCAAAAUUGAGAAUUCUUUGUAUUUCACAUUUCUCCCUUUAUUCAUUUUUUAUUGCUUUUCAGUAAAGUUUUAUAAUUUUCAUCAUCUAGGCUCUUAUUUAUUUAUUUUUUAAUGUUUAUUUAUUUUUGAGAGGCAGAGAGAGAGCGCAAGCAAGGGGGGGUGAAGAGAGAGGGAGACACAGAAUCCGAAGCAGGUUCCAGGUCUGAGCUGUCAGCCCAGAGCCCGACGUGGGGCUCAGACCCACGAACUGUGAGAUCAUGACCUGAGCCGAAGUCGGAUGCUUAACUGACUCAGCCCCCAGGCGCCCCAUUUUUCAUUGUCUAGGCUUUUAAAUUAUUGGGUUUAUUUUUAGAAGUUUUGGGCUUCUAGGAACAGUAUUUUUGACAAUGUAUUUCCAUUGGUUGUUGCUGUGUGCAGGACAGUUAGUGACUAUUGAAGAUUGAUUUUUUCCCUCACAAUCUGAUUAGAUUCUUUUUUCCUUUUUUUUUCCCCCAGGUAGGCUCUGUGCCCACUGUGGGGCUCCAACUCACGACCCUGAGAUCAAGACUUGCAUGCUCUGUGGACCGAGCCAGCGUGGCACCCCACUUAUCUCACGAAUUCUAACAGGAUUUCAGUUGACUAUCUAUUAGCCACAACUUAAUCUUUUAAUUUCCAAAUAUUUACGUCUUCUAUUUCUUUUUAAAUACAUUAUUAUCUUGACUGGCACCUCCAGUAGAAUGUUGGUAGAUGAUGAAGUAUUUUAAAAC
rnacentral:lncRNA from 1 species